GGAUAGCUCAGUCAGCAGAGCAUGAGACUCUUGAUCUCAGAUUCUUGCAUUGCAAGGGGUUGGACAAGAUCACCCUUGUGGUCCU